CAAUCACGACCGGAUGCUGAGCCCACGGCCCACAGCGACCACAUACACACUAAGAGUCCAGGUAUGUUGAUAUUAUCUCCAGCUGAUAAUAUCUAUUACCACUGGCUCCUCAUCAUCUCGACUGCUGUGCUCUACAACUGGUGUCUGCUGGUGGCCAGGGCAUGUUUUGAUGAGCUUCCGACGAGUGGUGCCAUCGUGUGG